GAUUGAUUCAAACCAAUCCAUUAACAAUUUUUUUUGUUUGAUCGAUGGAUUUGAUGGAUUUUGUA
rnacentral:pre_miRNA from 1 species